rnacentral:rRNA from 1 species
AUUGAACGCUGGCGGCAUGCCUUACACAUGCGAGUCGAACGGUAACGCGGGGCAACCUGGCGACGAGUGGCGAACGGGUGAGUAAUGUAUCGGAACGUGCCCAGUUGUGGGGGAUAACUGCUCGAAAGAGCAGCUAAUACCGCAUACGACCUGAGGGUGAAAGCGGGGGAUCGCAAGACCUCGCGCAAUUGGAGCGGCCGAUAUCAGAUUAGGUAGUUGGUGGGGUAAAGGCUCACCAAGCCAACGAUCUGUAGCUGGUCUGAGAGGACGACCAGCCACACUGGGACUGAGACACGGCCCAGCCUCCUACGGGAGGCAGCAGUGGGGAAUUUUGGACAAUGGACGCAAGUCUGAUCCAGCCAUGCCGCGUGCGGGAAGAAGGCCUUCGGGUUGUAAACCGCUUUUGUCAGGGAAGAAACGCUCUGGGUUAAUACCUCGGGGUAAUGACGGUACCUGAAGAAUAAGCACCGGCUAACUACGUGCCAGCCGCCGCCGUAACAC